rnacentral:rRNA from 1 species
GACGAACGCUGGCGGCGUGCUUAACACAUGCAAGUCGAACGGAAAGGCCCUGCUUUUGUGGGGUGCUCGAGUGGCGAACGGGUGAGUAACACGUGAGUAACCUGCCCUUGACUUUGGGAUAACUUCAGGAAACUGGGGCUAAUACCGGAUAGGAGCUCCUGCUGCAUGGUGGGGGUUGGAAAGUUUCGGCGGUUGGGGAUGGACUCGCGGCAUAUCAGCUUGUUGGUGGGGUAGUGGCUUACCAAGGCUUUGACGGGUAGCCGGCCUGAGAGGGUGACCGGCCACAUUGGGACUGAGAUACGGCCCAGACUCCUACGGGAGGCAGCAGUGGGGAAUAUUGCACAAUGGGCGGAAGCCUGAUGCAGCAACGCCGCGUGCGGGAUGACGGCCUUCGGGUUGUAAACCGCUUUCGCCUGGGACGAAGCGUGAGUGACGGUAAUGGGUAAAGAAGCACCGGCUAACUACGUG